rnacentral:ncRNA from 2 species
UCAGUGCAUGACAGAACUUGA